AUGAGGUGUACCCAAAUGUUGCUCCUGCCCAUCGCCUUCCUCGUGCUAUCAUCAGAUGUGAUAAUGGAGGCGUCGGCGGGCAUUGGCAUUGAUCCCAUCUCCUGUAUGUCAAACAUUAUUCAGCCAUCGCCAAAGCCAUGUAAUAACCAAACUUGUCGUAAGGCAUGCGUCGAACGUAUAGGGUAUGGCACAGAAGGCGAGUGUGUUACCAAGGGGUGCAAGUGUACGUACUGCACAAACUGGCCUCCACGACAAUCAACAAAUGAGCCCUGA
rnacentral:rRNA from 1 species